rnacentral:tRNA from 1 species
AAAUUUUGUUUUAAUUUAGGUUUUGAAAACCUAUAAAGAGAAAUAAACUUUCUCAGCAUUUA